rnacentral:rRNA from 1 species
UGAUUUUUUAAAUGGCCGCGGUAUUCUGACCGUGCAAAGGUAGCAUAAUCAUUUCGCCUUUUUAUUGGGGGCUGGAAUGAAGGAAAGUAUAAGAGUAAAGCUGUCUUUUUUGUAAAAUUAUAAUUUGCUGUCCGUGUGAAGAAGCACUGGUAUUUUUAAAAGACAAGAAGACCCCAUUAAGCUUUACCUUUCAAUUUUGUUUUUUAUCUUAAAAGAAUAAAAAACAAAAUCUAAUUAGGUUUGGUUGGGGUGACUAAAAAGGAAGAAAUCCUUUUUUUUUUGUUUUACUGAGAGUUAAAGAAUGAUCCUUUGUUUGUGAGUGUUAGAAUAAGUUACUAUGGGGAUAACAGCGUAAUUUUCUCAGCGAGUUCUUAUUAAAGAGAAAGAUUGCGACCUCGAUGUUGACUUAUUAUUUCCUAGUAAGGUGCAAAAGCUUUAAGGGUUAGUCUGUUCGACUAUUAAAAUAGUACGUGAGUUGAGUUCAAACC